rnacentral:snRNA from 1 species
AAAAUAUACCGUUUUGACAAUUA